UGUGGUCUGUAGAAAUGCCCCAGUCAGGAUACCUGCUACCAUGCGGCUGGAAAUACUGCGGCAUGGAGAGAGAAGUGGAAGUGGAAAGGAGAUCAGAAAGGCUGACAGCAGUUUUGAUUUCAGUACUUCAGCAAGAGUCUCCUCUAUGAUUUCUGCAAGGUUGCACACAACCUGACUGAACAGGAACCCAAAGUCUGCUGUCAGUGGCUUUGCUGAGAUCACAGGAGUAAUGGAAGACAAAAAUCAAACUGCAUCCUGGCUGCACAGUGCUGGCUACUUGAGGAAAUGCAAGCAUCAGGCUGGAAUCGGAAGUGGCACAAGAGGAAAAGAAAGCAAGCAGACAAGAAUGAAAAACAGAAUUAGAUAAAUAUCUGGCAGUGUUUCAUGAGAAGCAUAUCCUAGAGAGAGCAACAACAAUCUCAAUAAGGU